CCCAGCAAGCCCACCUUGGUGGUCACCCGCUGGGCAGACUUGAUCUCCUUGCUGGGAGUGAGUGCCCUGCUGCCCUGGGACUCUCCUGGGUCUCCCCAUGCCACACCUGACCUGCUGGAGCCAUCGGCUGCCUCCCCCACCAUCCUGGGGGCUUUCCAUCACAGCAAGUGGCCCUCCGUCUCAGCCCUGGACACAUCGCCCCCACCUUCCCUGGGG